rnacentral:rRNA from 1 species
GGGGAAUCUUAGACAAUGGGGGAAACCCUGAUCUAGCCAUGCCGCGUGAUCGAUGAAGGCCUUAGGGUUGUAAAGAUCUUUCAGUGGGGAAGAUAAUGACUGUACCCACAGAAGAAGCCCCGGCUAACUCCGUGCCAGCAGCCGCGGUAAUACGGAGGGGGCUAGCGUUGUUCGGAAUUACUGGGCGCAAAGCGCACGUAGGCGGAUCAGAAAGUCAGAGGUGAAAUCCCAGGGCUCAACCUUGGAACUGCCUUUGAAACUCCUGAUCUUGAGGUCGAGAGAGGUGAGUGGAAUUCCGAGUGUAGAGGUGAAAUUCGUAGAUAUUCGGAGGAACACCAGUGGCGAAGGCGGCUCACUGGCUCGAUACUGACGCUGAGGGGCGAGAGCGUGGGGAGCAAAC